UAACCACCGUGGGAUAAGCUAUUGCUUCGUUCUGCCCUAUUGCCAUCACUCUUCAUAUGCCGCCAGCAUUCCUUGCCUUAGGGCAGUCUCUCUUGUAGUGCCCAGCCUCACCACACCCAUAACACACUUGGCCCACACCGAAUCCAGGGACUUGGGUGAUUCCUUGUGCCGGUGCCUUACAGAAACGGGCAGUGUGCCCUUUCUUAUUGCAGUUGUUGCAGUGCAUCUACCUAUAAUUUCCGUUAUGAUGGAAAUUGCACUUGCUGCACUUUGGUAGGUUCCAAACAUAUUGCUUCGCUGGUGCAGAGGUAACAUGAGCAAUAGUGGGGGUAGUACCGGCAUGGACUGCCACUAUUGGUUGCUUCUUGGAAGGUUCCUAUGAAAACUGACUCUUCCUCUUGUUCCAAAGCUUCUUCUUGCUGUUUUUGUUGGUACUGAUGUUAUUGUUGUUGUUGUUUCCUAUGGUUUGCUCUGGAACAGCAGUUGCGAAGCCUUGGCAAACUCCAUGGUCAACGAGAGUUUGUGCCAACUAUUUGGCGCUAUUGAAAGUAACUGGUUUGGAAGUUAUUACACUUCCUCGAAUCUAGGGUGACAGUCCCCAGAUGUAUCUCUCAAUCGUCUUGCUCUCUAGAGCAACCAUCCUUGGGCAAAGGAUUCCUAAAUCACUAAAUCUAUUGGUAUAGGUUGUGAUGUGCGAUCCUACCAUAGUAAGGCCCCAAAGUUCCUGCUCUAGCUUUUGUAAUUCGCCCCUUGGAUAGUACUCUUGCAUUAACAUUUGCUUUAGAUUCUCCCAGCCCAUAGAAUUAGCCACUACCAGAGUUAGUGACUUGACAUGGCCAUUCCACCACGUCAGAGCUCUCUCGAAGAAUGUACAAGCAUCAAAUUUUACCUUGCUCACUUCCAGACAUGCACAAAUCUCAAAAACCGCUUUUGUUUUCUCUAUCCAUUGUGAUAGAGCCAUUAUCCCUCCGGAUCCAUUCAAAGAUAUGGGCUUCCUAUUGGUGAAGUCCUUGAAGGUGCAAUCUCCUGAACGACCCUAACGUUGGCCAUUCGUAGAGCUAUUUACUCCCCCUCCGGAACCAUUAUUACUCAUAUGUGCCAUUGUUGUUGUCAUUGCAGCUGUUAUAGUGGCUAUCAAGGCAACAUUAUCUGUUGAUGGAGGUGGUGGUGGUGGAGUUGUUGCGUUGUUAACACGACGUGUAGAACUAUGGGGCGGCGUCGUCCUGCUAAAGAAUUAGAAUGAAGAACAUAAGUCUUUAAUGAUUGGAAGCUGUGUGUUAAUAAAUUUGCUAUUUUAAUCAAUUUAUGAAUUUGACUGACCUAUCCAAGGUUUAGAGUUUGACUCAUAAUAAAAGUUUGCAUAGUGAUAGAUAAACUUAUGAAUCUGAGUGGUAUUCAAAGAAUUAAAAUACAAAGGAAUUUCUUCAUAUAUAUUAAACAUACGUUGAGUUACAUUUGAAGUUAGGAAAAUUUUGACCCUUCUAAGGGUCUCCAAUACAGAAGUUAAAGAAAAGUAAGACUUUUAGCCGAGUUGCUAUUCUAUAACAAAAUUUUUGGGAUUGGAGCAAGUACUACUUGCGACGUAGGUUGCGCUUGGAGCUCGACUCCGUGUCUGAUUGCUUUGCUUCCAUAAGACGCCUAUCGAAAACGGCUUGAUGUUCCCUCAUUUCCCUUAUCUCAGAGAGGCUGCAAUCAGUUGCACUUGGAAUGUUUCGGUGCGGAGUUGGGCAUCAUCCUGCAACCUGUCCAGUCGAUGGAUGUCAGAAGUGUGAACUUGUACUUCCACGUUGACUUCACAAAUCCAGUUAGCUUAAACACCAGAUUGAUAGGACUAGUUGGCUAGUUUGCCCACCAUGACUGGGAGUGUUCGGUCAGCUGAACCUCCAUUAGGGUUUUGGGAGCUGACCCGUUCUGGAUUGCGUUGAUUUUUGAAUGUUCCACGUGUAUCCCGUCUUUGCUAACCACGUGACCUAGGAAAAUCACUUUCCGAAUCCAAAAUUCUCACUUUGAAAAUAUUGUGUAUAGCUUCUCCUUUCUUAGCGUUUCCAAUAUUUUUCGGAGAUGUUGACCAUGCUCCUCUUCACUCUUAGUAUAUCUUCUAUGAACAAGAUCACAAAUUUUUCCAGGAAUGAAUGACACACUCGGUUCAUUAAGUCCAUGACCACCGCCGGUGCAUUUGUUAAUCCAAAGCGCAUCACUACAAACUUGUACUGACCAUAACGAGUUCGAAAGGCUGUUUUGGGAACAUCUCCUUCCAAGACUCGCAGCUGAUGAUACCCGGAUCUCAAAUCGAUCUUUGAGAAAUAACUAGCUCCUUGGAGUUGGUCGAGCAAGUUGUCAAUGCGUGGUAGGGGAUAUCGGUUCUUGAUAGUGUGCUUUUUGAGUUCCUGGUAAUCGAUGCACAUGCGGAAAGACCCAUCCUUCUUCUUUACGAACANUCUUUACGAACAUGACUGGUGCUUCCCAAGGUGAGAAACCCGAUCUGAUGAAUCCUUUGUUGAUUAGUUCAUUUAAUUGACUGGAUAAUUCAUGCAUCUCAGCUGGCACUAGACGAUACGGAGACUUAGCUACUGGGGUAGCUCCUGAACUUGACUUGUUGUUCUGGUGGGACUCCUGAAAGAUCUUCAGGGAAGACAUUGGGAAAAUCGCAGACUUCUGGAAUCUCUUUGAGGUCUUCCGCUUCUUUUUCCUUAUCUACUACGUGUGCUAAGAAGGCAUGGUACUCCUUAUGCAGGUAUUCUGGGCUUUAAGACAAGAGAUGAUCUGCAAAUUGGUACCGCGUUUUUCACCAUAAAUGACAAGAGUCUCAUAAUUUGGCAGAUUUAGCCGAACGUCCCUCUCAUGACAAAGUAUAUCGGCAUGGUGUAGGCUUAACCAUUCCAUACCAAUGAUGACAUCAAAGCUCUUUAUAGUGAUCGACAUUAGAUCGAUUUGAAAUGAAUGUUCGUUUAGAGUUAGCGUGUAGCCUAUGUACAUAUCGUUUGUGCUUUCUGUUCUACCGUUUGCCAUUUUUACUGUAAAUAUCUUAUUGAGUGAUUGAGGGUUCUGUUUUAGUAUGUGUUUGAAUUUAUGACUCACGAAACUCCUCUCCGCACCACAAUCAAAGAGUAUGCAUGCAUAAGCGUUAUUGAGGAGAAACGUACCCGUAACCACCGUGGGAUAAGCUAUUGCUUCGUUCUGCCCUAUUGCCAUCACUCUUCAUAUGCCGCCAGCAUUCCUUGCCUUAGGGCAGUCUCUCUUGUAGUGCCCAGCCUCACCACACCCAUAACACACUUGGCCCACACCGAAUCCAGGGACUUGGGUGAUUCCUUGUGCCGGUGCCUUACAGAAACGGGCAGUGUGCCCUUUCUUAUUGCAGUUGUUGCAGUGCAUCUACCUAUAAUUUCCGUUAUGAUGGAAAUUGCACUUGCUGCACUUUGGUAGGUUCCAAACAUAUUGCUUCGCUGGUGCAGAGGUAACAUGAGCAAUAGUGGGGGUAGUAC
rnacentral:lncRNA from 1 species